AAGGGCACCACAAGAACGCGUGGAGCAUGUGGCUUAAUUUGACUCAACACGGGAAAUCUUACCGGGUCCGGACACAUUGAGGAUUGACAGACAUAACGACCUUAAUUAAUUUAAUUUUGGUCUUAAUUAAAAGAUGCUAGUUCUUUCAUGAUUAUGUGAUAGGUGGUGCAUGGCCGUUCUUAGUUCGUGGAGUGAUCUGUCUGCUUAAUUGCGUUUCAUAUUUAAAUUUAAUUACUUCUACUUUAAGUAGUUGUAUUAUACUGUUUGAAGGCAACGAACGUGACCGUAUUCUUAUAUUUUAAUUAAUUUAAUUAUUAAUUUUAAGAGACCGCUGAUUCUCUUUUUAAACCAGAGGAAGGUUUCGGCAAUAACAGGUCUGUGAUGCCCUUAGAUGUUCCGGGCUGCACACGCGCUACAAUGAUCAUUUCAUUAAGUACUUAAACCCUCCUUCGAAAGUUGAGUGGGUAAUCAAUUAAAAGUAAUGACUCUAUACUUUAAAUGACUCACACUUACACUAUCUUAUUUUAAUUUAAUUUAAUUUAAUUUAGUAAUUGUCUUAUUGUUAAUUCUUAUUGUUGGGACAGUCCAUUGUUAAUUGUUGGUCUCGCUUUUAACUAGGAAUGCCUUGUACUGGUCUUUGGUUCAACAAACCACCAGGAAUACGUCCCUGCCCUUUGUACACACCGCCCGUCGCUCUUACCGAUGAACUCUGCUAUGAGUUUGAAGGAUGUAUUAAUUAAUUUAAUUUAUGCGAAUAGUUUGAUUUAAAGGAAAGAGAAGUCGAACAAGGCA
rnacentral:rRNA from 1 species